CCACUUCGGUGGGAGCGGCAGACGGGUGAGUAACACGUGGGAAUCUACCCAGCUCUACGGAAUAAUCCAGGGAAACUUGGACUAAUACCGUAUACGUCCUCCGGGAGAAAGAUUUAUCGGAGUUGGAUGAGCCCGCGUCUGAUUAGCUAGUUGGUGGGGUAAUGGCCUACCAAGGCGACGAUCAGUAGCUGGUCUGAGAGGAUGAUCAGCCACACUGGGACUGAGACACGGCCCAGACUCCUACGGGAGGCAGCAGUGGGGAAUAUUGGACAAUGGGCGAAAGCCUGAUCCAGCCAUGCCGCGUGAGUGAUGAAGGCCCUAGGGUUGUAAAGCUCUUUCACCGGGGAAGAUAAUGACGGUACCCGGAGAAGAAGCCCCGGCUAACUUCGUGCCAGCAGCCGCGGUAAUACGAAGGGGGCUAGCGUUGUUCGGAAUUACUGGGCGUAAAGCGCACGUAGGCGGAUUGUUAAGUGAGGGGUGAAAUCCCAGGGCUCAACCCUGGAACUGCCUCUCAUACUGGCAAUCUCGAGUUCGAGAGAGGUGAGUGGAAUUCCGAGUGUAG
rnacentral:rRNA from 1 species